rnacentral:rRNA from 1 species
CGCGUAGGUGGUAGUGCAAGUCUGGGGUGGAAUCUUAGGGCUUAACCCUAAAACUGCCUUGGAAACUGCAUUACUUGAGUCAGUGAGGGGAGGGUAGAAUUCCUGGUGUAGCGGUGGAAUGCGUAGAUAUCAGGAGGAAGGCCUGUGGCGAAGGCGGCCCUCUGGCGCUGAACUGACACUGAGGCGCGAAAGCGUGGGUAGCAAACAGGAUUAGAUACCCUGGUAGUCCACGCCCUAAACGGUGGGUACUAGGUGUAGGGCUCGUAAGGGUUCUGUGCCGAAGGGAAACCAUUAAGUACCCCGCCUGGGGAGUACGGCCGCAAGGUUGAA